AGGUGGCCAUCCCCAUGGAACCUCUAGUACCACUGGCCCUGCAUCUCCCUACUGGCCUGGCAUGAUCCAUACAUGCAUCAGGACUAAGUCCAAAUGUGCAUGGUGGGGCCACCCAUGUGUGCUGAUGCUCUGUGACUGGCACGCUUCAAGGCACAACACAGCCGGCAUACGGAAGAUGCUGCCAAAGACUAGGGUAAUUGUCUGGUGCCACAUGGUGCUGUUCCUUGGGAACAGAGACAUGCAUUGAAUGUUUCCUGAAGCACCCUGGUGCAGGUGCAGAUAUCCAGGCAAAUCAAGAGGGCUGCAGCAAAUAAAGCCUUUGUUCUGGGAUUUGUAGUCAGAAACCAGGAGACACAAAAGCCUCAGAAAAUCCUCAUUUCCCUUCCAAUCCCUUUUUCUCCUCAGCCAUUGGCUUUAAACUUUUCUGUACCUCUCAGGAUCACUGUGAGGCUGUCUUGAGCACCCUUUUUUAGAUCUGGAACAUGCAGAUAAUGGCUUGCCUGCUCCCUGACUCACUGCUGCCAGCUAUUGAAAAGGGGGUGAAAAUAGGUAGGUCUGAACUAAUUUAAUGGAUCUACUCUGAUCAUUAGAUGGAAUUUUGCAAUGUGGUUGCUUGCGAGAGCAGGAGACUGGACAAAAUGACUUGGGAGCUGCCUUCAAGUCAUUGUGUGUAUAUUGCUGUGUAUUUUAAGAACUGCAACCCCUUGUUGGGAGACAGAGCUGUCUAUCACUCAUUUCACAAAUGAGGUAUAAAUAAGGGCCUCAGUAAAGUCACUGGUAAAGUCAGCCAUUCUCCUCUCCAGUGGCUGAGGAGAACUGAUGUUGCUAAGAUUCUUUCCAAAGAAAUCGCACCCCUUAGCUACUGUAGCUCUUAGCAAACUGCCCAUCCAGAUAUAGCUAUGCGAAUAGAAAGGAUUUUCUGCUUGCAGAGAAAAGCAAAAGGCAUUUAAUCAGAAACUGGUUUAAGUUUGGCAGGACAUUCCUACCCUGGGAUGUGCAAUAGCUGUGGAUUGCAAGGUAUGGAAAAAAUUAAGCAAUAAGACAAGAGGCUCUUUAGAAAAUGGGUAGCGUCAAGUACUCCUAAUUUCAUUUGAGGACGAAGUUACAAAUCUGUGAUGAUAUGGAAACCCCCCAUAAAGUAUAGAAAUGGUGUACAAUGGCUUGGUUAUAGGAAUGCAUCUCGUACAAAUACCUUAAUUGACUUGAAUCAGACCAUAGCAAGAAAAAAUAAAUAGCAAGAGGAAAAGAAUUGAAUAAGACAUGUCUCCUCCUCAGUAAACACUAAAGAGACAAUGACUAACCUGUUAAUUGUAAAUUGGCUGGAAGUAGAUCACCUGGCCCUAGCCAGCCUACAAGACUGGUUUUGAGUAGCAGGUCCAAGGCCUGGGAUACAGAAGAUCAAAAGAAUUUUAAUGGUUUAAAAAGACUCACUUUGGAUGCGGUUGGGAUAGUUUGAUCUCCCUACAAAAACUGACUUGGCUUGAACAUUACUGGAUUGUCUGUAGAAGUUUGGCCUGUCUAGGUUACAAUAAGAGAUGGGAAGAUUUAGGUAAGAUAGACAUACAUGUAGACUAGUGGUGCCCAACCUUUUCACCCUGCGAACUGGACUAGUGGUUCCCAUCCAUGGGCUAGAUUGUGGGGUGAGGGUGGUGGGGGCUCGAUCUGGCUG